rnacentral:rRNA from 1 species
CUUGGUCAUUUAGAGGAAGUAAAAGUCGUAACAAGGUUUCCGUAGGUGAACCUGCGGAAGGAUCAUUACCUAGAGUUUGUGGACUUCGGUCUGCUACCUCUUACCCAUGUCUUUUGAGUACCUUCGUUUCCUCGGCGGGUCCGCCCGCCGGUUGGACAACAUUCAAGCCCUUUGCAGUUGCAAUCAGCGUCUGAAAAAACUUAAUAGUUACAACUUUCAACAACGGAUCUCUUGGUUCUGGCAUCGAUGAAGAACGCAGCGAAAUGCGAUAAGUAGUGUGAAUUGCAGAAUUCAGUGAAUCAUCGAAUCUUUGAACGCACAUUGCGCCCCUUGGUAUUCCAUGGGGCAUGCCUGUUCGAGCGUCAUUUGUACCUUCAAGCUCUGCUUGGUGUUGGGUGUUUGUCUCGCCUCUGCGUGUAGACUCGCCUCAAAACAAUUGGCAGCCGGCGUAUUGAUUUCGGAGCGCAGUACAUCUCGCGCUUUGCACUCAUAACGACGACGUCCAAAAGUACAUUUUUACACUCUUGACCUCGGAUCAGGUAGGGAUACCCGCUGAACUUAAGCAUAUCAAUAAGCGGAGGA